UACGUAGGUGGCAAGCGUUGUCCGGAAUUAUUGGGCGUAAAGGGCUCGUAGGCGGUUUGUCGCGUCGGGAGUGAAAACUCAGGGCUUAACCCUGAGCCUGCUCCCGAUACGGGCAGGCUGGAGGCAGGCAGGGGAGAACGGAAUUCCCGGUGUAGCGGUGAAAUGCGCAGAUAUCGGGAGGAACACCGGUGGCGAAGGCGGUUCUCUGGGCCUGUACUGACGCUGAGGAGCGAAAGCGUGGGGAGCGAACAGG
rnacentral:rRNA from 1 species